AUAAUAAUUAUUUACAAAAAAAAUCAGCAUUUUCUAUUAAUUUCUUUGUUUAUUUUUUAAUUGGUUAGUAUUGGUGGCAGCAUUGGUUCCAAUCCCAUGUUCUAUCACUGUGCUAUCAAUUAUUUCAUAUAAACUUACUCCUAAAUAGCACUGUAUUAGAGGUGGUUCCUUGCCUAAAUAGUUUUCAAAGUGGACCAGACUGUUGACAGUCAAAUGUCUGGUUACAUGAAACUAGCUGGACUUGACCUUGCACCACCUACAGGAGCACCAGGAUUAUAUAGGGUGGCCACCUGUUACUGCUCUGUUGCAGGACAUAGAUAAGAUUUUGUGGGACAGUGCAGGACACAUCUAAGAGAUAAAUUUACUGCUAAUAUACUAUGUAAAUAUUGAUUAACAUUAGCUGAAAACCAUCAUGUUGGAUGAUAACAUGUUUUACAUCACCAGUAUGCUUUGUUAAUUGAGAGCUGCUCUGUGGUUGGUACUCAGUUUGCCCAGGUUUGAGUGAUACAAUGUAAUUUACACAACAGGACCUAUUCAGCCUACUAAAUAUAAUGAACUGAAUAAUAGGCUUGUAGGUAUUUUCCUUUAUUAGACUACACUGUUAGACAUUUCUGUAAUUUCCACAGUUAUUUACUGUAUAUCACCCAGUAUAAUACUGCAAAGUCCCUUUACAGUAAAUAACUGUAAUACCAUUUGCAUCGUGGGAAUUUUCUGUGACCUCAGACCCCACAUACAGAGACUUACUGUAUUUUUUUAAAAUUGCUGUAUACUGUAUUUGCUGUAACGGUCUCUUUGGCACCAUUCUAUUGAGGUCGUUUGUUUUCCUCAUUUCUUACAUUUGGAUUGACACAAUUUGCCCUGGACCGUGUCUUCAACGCUGCACAGCUUGGGACUGACUACACUGGACAUUUUACAUCGCUUGUAAUGAUUGGAAAAUCCCUUGUACUUUGUGUCAGAAACAGCGCAAGGACUUGGAGUGCACCUGUAUGUCAGAAAUAUACCAGGGCAUCAGUUUACUGUCUGCAUUCACUGUAGAUAAUAUAUAUAAUGGGUUCUAUAUUGUUGUCUGUUGUCGAGUUGCGCCGCGCCACUCGCGUCCGAGGAAAAGACACAGAAGCAGCGAGGCAGCGCCGCGGGUUUUGCCCGAGGAUGAACCCACAAGAGUGGAAGAGCUCCUGAGAACAUCUACGCUGUGUGUCGAUGCACCUUGCGAGAGAAUAAGACCAGCAAGGAAGGCAACUGCAAUGAAGCAUCAAGAAAGACAUGAACAUGCCAGCCACCCAGAGACUGACAAUUCAUGAGAAGACAUUUCUGUCACUAACAAAGUGGAUGGUGAGCAAAGAUGGUGGACACGUUUUGGAGCAGCACCUGGGUUUUGGAGAUAGCUAUGUAUUCUUUGGCUGCUUGUCUUUUUUCCCCUCAUUAUGUUUCUGUUGCCUAAAGAUUCUUUGUGAGGAUGAAUCCAGAGGACACAACAUAAUGCACUGCAAAACGUCCUAAGACAGGAGAAAUGGUGAAGCUGCACUGUUCCAUAAAUACAUUGGAAAUAUGCUCACUGAAUAUAAACCUAACAGACCACUCAGAUCAUUAGGAUCGAGUCAGUUAGAAAUACCAAGGGUUCACACAAAACAAGGGGAGUCUGCUUUUAGCUAUUAUGCCGCCCGCAGUUGGAACCAGCUUCCAGAAGAGAUCAGAUGUGCUAAAACAUUAGGCACUUUUAAAUCCAGACUCAAAACUCAUCUGUUUAGCUGUGCAUUUGUUGAAUGAGCACUGAGCUACGUCUGAACUGAUUGCACUAUGUAUAAUCACUUUCUGUUCUUAAAUGUUUUCAAUUCUUUUUAAUCAAUUUUUAAAUCACUUUGAUUUUAUUGUUCUGAUUAUUAUUAUUUUUAAUUUAUUGUUAUUAUUAUUAUUUUUAAUGACUAUUUCACUUCCUUUUAUGUAAAGAACUUUGAAUUACCACUGUGUAUGAAAUGUGCUAUAUAAAUAAACUUGCCUUGCUUUG